UCCCUCUUUGGAAAAGCUGAUGGAUCUGGGCCUGUUCACCCUCGAGAAGGGACAACUGAGAAGGGACCUCAUCAAUAUUAUAAGUAUCUGAAGGGAGGGUGCCAGGAGGAUGGAGCCAGGCUCUGCUCAGCAGUGCCAAACAAUAAGACAAGAGGCAAAGGGGAGAAACUGAUGCACGGGAAG